AUUGAACGCUGGCGGCAUGCCUUACACAUGCAAGUCGAACGGUAACGGGCCUUCGGGUGCCGACUAGUGGCGAACGGGGGAGUAAUACAUCGGAACGUGCCCGAACGUGGGGGAUAACGAGGCGAAAGCUUUGCUAAUACCGCAUACUAUCUACGGAUGAAAGCAGGGGACCGCAAGGCCUUGCGCGGACGGAGCGGCCGAUGGCAGAUUAGGUAGUUGGGGGGAUAAAAGCUUACCAAGCCGACGAUCUGUAGCUGGUCUGAGAGGAUGAUCAGCCACACUGGGACUGAGACACGGCCCAGACUCCUACGGGAGGCAGCAGUGGGGAAUUUUGGACAAUGGGCGCAAGCCUGAUCCAGCCAUGCCGCGUGCAGGAUGAAGGCCUUCGGGUUGUAAACUGCUUUUGUACGGAAAGAAAAGCCUUCUUUUAAUACAGGAGGGUCAUGACGGUACCGUAAGAAUAAGCACCGGCUAACUACGUG
rnacentral:rRNA from 1 species